GGGCUCGGGGCUGUAGCCGAGGGUUCCGCCGGCGCCCGCCCGCCCUCUCGGUAGACCCUCGCCCGCGCGUCCCGGCGCGCCGCCACAGACCUGCGGCCUCAGCCGUCCUCACGCGCGGCUCCGGGAGGGGAAGGAGGCCGACGGGGCUAGGCGGGAACGGGGCCGCGCCACGGGCCGCAGCGCGCCGCGGGUACAAGGAGGGCAGAACCGCCGCGGAGCUUUGUGGAAAUGAGGGGCUGGGGGGCGUCAACAGCCCCGGGGAGGGGGCGCGCCGGAGAGGCCGGGCGGCUGCCCCCGCGCCCAUAGGCCCCGGGAGCUGUUCGUCAACACUAGGCCCCGCCUCCUCCCGCGGUUCCCCGCCUCGUCUCGUGCUGCGCUGGCCGGAAGGAAGCGGCACACUUCCGCUUGCCUGGUCCGCAUUGAGUCCGGUCUGUUCCGGAGACUCUGAGCGCGGCCGCGGAGCUGCAGUGGCGGGGAGUGGGGUGCGGAUCUUGUGUUUGCGCACGCAGUCGCCGGCCACCUCAGGCCGGAGCUAGAGAUACGGCUCGGGAUAGGAGGGCCCGGCGGCUCUGAGGCAGGUUCGCCUCGAGCCGCACGGCCCGGAGCAGCGGCUCCGCGGUGGUCCCCGGGGCUUGAGAGGGGUGCGGGCCUGGGAGCCCCUGAGGGCCUGAUUUACGGAACUCCCCCUCCUUCCUCCUUUCUGCCGUUCCCUGCUCUGUGGCGGAUGCGCAGGGAUCAGUAGGGACGGCAGCAGUAGGGCCACUCGGGCCUGCCCCGCUUCCCGCAUUGCCCGGUUUGGCGCGCCGCCUCCGGGCCUUGGCAAAGCCCCAGCGCCCGAUUGUCACUGACCAGUGCUUGGAAGUCCUUUACCGACUGCCCGUCAGCGUCCCGCGGAGAGGAUUUUGCGUCUCCAAAGACGCCCCUCUUCCGAAAACAGGCUCCUCUGUGUUCUCAGUCGGGUAUAUUUUUCUGUCUCCAAACUAGAUUGGCAGCCGUUUUUUGAGAGCAGGGUCUUGCUCUGUUGCCCAGACUGGAGUGCAGUGGCGCCAUCUCAGCUGACUGCAGAUUCAACCUUCUGAGCUCACGAAAUCCUCCCAUCUCAACCUCCUGAGUAGCUGGGACCACAGGCUGAGCACAGGGUUGCUCCAGGUGGGCCCAAAUGCUGAAGAGCCUCAUGUUAGAGUUUUUCACCUCUGCGAUGGAACUGUGGUGGACUCCAGUAUCAUCAUUCCAGGGAGGCAUAGCCGCACCAACUGUGUUCCCAGGUUUCACAUGGAGAAGGGUUUUAGAAAGUGCAGAUAGCCUUGAAACCAUUGGUUUCCUACCACUGUUUAUUUCAGCAUAACUUUUUUUGUGUGGAAUGCUAGCUCUGGAAGAGCAGAAAUAAAUACAGCUUAAGCUUUGAACCAUAUCCUGCUGUACUUUUUCUCAUAAGCUGGAAAUAGAAUUUUCUAACACCGUUUGUGGUUGGAAAUACUGAAUUUAAAUGGGACUGCAGAUAUAAACAAAAAGAACAAGAUGUGGAUUGAUGUGCCUAUUUCAGUAAAACACAGCCACAUUAUUUCUGAAAUAUGGAUACUAAAGAUGACAAGUAGAAAAAAAAUUGGAGAUGUGCACAGUUG
rnacentral:lncRNA from 10 species